rnacentral:rRNA from 1 species
GUCGAGAAUCUUUCACAAUGGGGGCAACCCUGAUGGAGCGACGCCGCGUGGAGGAUAAGGUAUUCGGAUUGUAAACUCCUGUCAUGCGUGAACAAGGUUGCUUGGUUAAUACCUGGGCAAAUUGAUGGUAACGCAAGAGGAAGAGACGGCUAACUCUGUGCCAGCAGCCGCGGUAAUACAGAGGUCUCAAGCGUUGUUCGGAAUCACUGGGCGUAAAGGGUGCGUAGGUGGCGUGGUAAGUCAGAUGUGAAAGCCCGGGGCUCAACCUCGGAACUACAUCCGAUACUGCCAUGCUAGAGUACUGGGGAGGUGACUAGAAUUCUCGGUGUAGCAGUGAAAUGCGUAGAUGUCGAGAGGAAUACCAAAGGCGUAGGCAGGUCACUGGACAGUUACUGACACUGAGGCACGAAGGCCAGGGGAGCGAACGGGAUUAGAAACCCUGGUAGUCC